CCUACGGGGUGCUGCAGUGAGGAAUAUUGGUCAAUGGUCGGGAGACUGAACCAGCCAAGCCGCGUGAGGGAUGAAGGUCCAGAGUAUCGUAAACCUCUUUUGUCAGGGAACAAAGGCGGGGACGCGUCCCCGGAUGAGUGUACCUGAAGAAAAAGCAUCGGCUAACUCCGUGCCAGCAGCCGCGGUAAUACGGAGGAUGCGAGCGUUAUCCGGAUUUAUUGGGUUUAAAGGGUGCGCAGGCGGUGUGGCAAGUCAGCGGUCAAAGCCCGGGGCUCAACCCCGGCCCGCCGUUGAAACUGGCUGUCUCGAGUGGGAGAGAAGUAUGCGGAAUGCGCGGUGUAGCGGUGAAAUGCAUAGAGAUCACGCAGAACUCCGAUUGCGAAGGCAGCAUGCCGGCUCCACACUGACGCUGAUGCACGAAAGCGUGGGUAUCGAACAGGAUUAGAUACCCGAGUAGUC
rnacentral:rRNA from 1 species